rnacentral:rRNA from 2 species
CAUUAAAGCGGUACGCGAGCUGGGUUCAGAACGUCGUGAGACAGUUCGGUCCCUAUCCGUCGUGGGCGUAGGAAAUUUGAGAGGAGCUGUCCUUAGUACGAGAGGACCGGGAUGGACACACCGCUGGUGUACCAGUUGUCUUGCCAAAGGCAUCGCUGGGUAGCUAUGUGUGGACGGGAUAAGUGCUGAAAGCAUCUAAGCAUGAAGCCCCCCUCAAGAUGAGAUUUCCCAUUACGCAAGUAAGUAAGAUCCCUCAAAGACGAUGAGGUAGAUAGGUUCGAGGUGGAAGUGUGGUGACACAUGGAGCUGACGAAUACUAAUCGAUCGAGGACUUAACCA